rnacentral:piRNA from 3 species
UCAGUGAACUAAGAGUGGAUGUUGUCAAC